rnacentral:rRNA from 1 species
UACAGAGGGUGCGAGCGUUAAUCGGAAUUACUGGGCGUAAAGUGUGCGCAGGCGGCGUUGCAAGUCGAGUGUGAAAUCCCCGAGCUUAACUUGGGAAUUGCGCUCGAAACUACGAUGCUCGAGUAUGGCAGAGGAAGGUGGAAUUCCACGUGUAGCGGUGAAAUGCGUAGAGAUGUGGAGGAACACCGAUGGCGAAGGCAGCCUUCUGGGCCAAUACUGACGCUCAUGCACGAAAGCGUGGGGAGCAAACAGG